AAUAAAUAAAUAAAUAAAAAUAAUAAUAAAAAAAUAAUUAAAAUAUAAUAGAAAAAACUUGGACUUGGACCUCUCUCAUUUGAGCCCAUAAAGCCAUGAAAAUCAGGUUAUAAAAGAGGGAGAUCAGACAGAAAAAGGAAGAGAAGCAAAAUACUCUGAGGUUUCCCUGAAACAAAACCCUGGACAAAACCUACAGAGGAACCUGACAGAGAACUCAGAGCAAACCCCCAUCUCACGCAACCCUAACAUUUC
rnacentral:lncRNA from 1 species